UAGGGAAUCUUCCGCAAUGGACGCAAGUCUGACGGAGCAACGCCGCGUGAGUGAAGAAGGAUUUCGGUUCGUAAAACUCUGUUGUUAGAGAAGAACAGCGCAUAGAGUAACUGUUAUGCGUGUGACGGUAUCUAACCAGAAAGCUACGGCUAACUACGUGCCAGCAGCCGCGGUAAUACGUAGGUGGCAAGCGUUGUCCGGAUUUAUUGGGCGUAAAGCGAGCGCAGGCGGUCAAUUAAGUCUGAUGUGAAAGCCCCCGGCUCAACCGGGGAGGGUCAUUGGAAACUGGUUGACUUGAGUGCAGAAGAGGAGAGUGGAAUUCCAUGUGUAGCGGUGAAAUGCGUAGAUAUAUGGAGGAACCCCAGUGGCGAAGGCGACUCUCUGGUCUGUAACUGACGAUGAGGUUCGAAAGCGUGGGUAGCAAACAGG
rnacentral:rRNA from 1 species